AUUGAACGCUGGCGGCAGGCUUAACACAUGCAAGUCGAACGAGUGGCGGACGGGUGAGUAAUGCUUGGGAAUCUAGCUUAUGGAGGGGGAUAACUACGGGAAACUGUAGCUAAUACCGCGUAACAUAGGAUGAGCCCAAGUGGGCUUAGGUAGUGGGUGAGGUAAAGGCUCACCAAGACGACGAUCUCUAGCUGGUCUGAGAGGAUGACCAGCCACCCUGGGACUGAGACACGGCCCAGACUCCUACGGCAGGCAGCAGGGGGGAAUAUUGCGGCAUGGGGGCAACCUGACGCAGCCAUGCCGCGUGAAUGAAGAAGGCCUUCGGGUUGUAAAGUUCUUUCGGUAGCGAGGCGUUAACUACAGAAGAAGCACCGGCUAACUCCGUGCCAGCAGCCGCGGUAAUAC
rnacentral:rRNA from 1 species